rnacentral:rRNA from 1 species
GAUGAACGCUGGCGGCGUGCCUAAUACAUGCAAGUCAAGCGAACAGAUGAGGAGCUUGCUCCUCUGACGUUAGCGGCGGACGGGUGAGUAACACGUGGAUAACCUACCUAUAAGACUGGGAUAACUUCGGGAAACCGGAGCUAAUACCGGAUAAUAUAUUGAACCGCAUGGUUCAAUAGUGGAAGACGGUUUUGCUGUCACUUAUAGAUGGAUCCGCGCCGCAUUAGCUAGUUGGUAAGGUAACGGCUUACCAAGGCAACGAUGCGUAGCCGACCUGAGAGGGUGAUCGGCCACACUGGAACUGAGACACGGUCCAGACUCCUACGGGAGGCAGCAGUAGGGAAUCUUCCGCAAUGGGCGAAAGCCUGACGGAGCAACGCCGCGUGAGUGAUGAAGGUCUUCGGAUCGUAAAACUCUGUUAUUAGGGAAGAACAAAUGUGUAAGUAACUAUGCACGUCUUGACGGUACCUAAUCAGAAAGCCACGGCUAACUACGUG